AUCUGGUGGUGAAGGCAGCUGGCACAUAAUUUCUUGAACCUCUCUUAGUAAUCAUAUAAGCUCUCUCCACUGAGUUGUCUAAUGCCUGAAAUAUCCUUUCUAAUGGU
rnacentral:snoRNA from 1 species